CCAAUAGCGUAUAUUAAAGUUGUUGCAGUUAAAAAGCUCGUAGUUGAAUUUCGGGAUCAAUAUGUUGGUCGUGCCUUGGUACGUACUGGCGUCAUUGGUUUCUACCUUCUGAAGGACCUCGAUGUCAUUAAUUUGGUGUCUUGGGGAAUCAGGACUGUUACUUUGAAAAAAUUAGAGUGUUUAAAGCAAGCUCACGCUUGAAUACAUUAGCAUGGAAUAAUGAAAUAGGACGUUUGAUUCUAUUUUGUUGGUUUCUAGGAUCGACGUAAUGAUUAAUAGGGAUAGUUGGGGGCAUUAGUAUUCAAUUGUCAGAGGUGAAAUUCUUGGAUUUAUUGAAGACUAACUACUGCGAAAGCAUUUGCCAAGGAUGUUUUCAUUAAUCAAGAACGAAAGUUAGGGGAUCGAAGACGAUCAGAUACCGUCGUAGUCUUAACCAUAAACUAUGCCGACUAGGGAUCGGAUGAUGUUAAUUUUUUAAUGACUCAUUCGGCGCCUUACG
rnacentral:rRNA from 1 species